UCACGCACUGUUCAGGAUGGAAUUCAGACCUUCUGAUGUACUUAUUGACCUGCACUAUCUUGUGGACAUGUGGAUGAAUUUCUACACCACCCAUUUUAUAGAUGAGACUACUGAGAUACAGAACAACUGACUAAAUAGUCACCACCCUAUCCCUGGAGCCUCACUCAUGACUCUCCUCUCAGGUGAAAUGUGAUCUUGUCAGUGUAAUAUGGAAGUGGAGAUUGACUCUGGAGCUAGCCUGAUGGGGCCUGAAUUCUGACUCAGCCACUUACUAUAUGACCUUGGGUAAGUCAUUUAACUUCUUUGUCCCUUAGGUUCAUCUUUGGCAAAGUAGGGAUGAUGAUAGCACCUGUUUCAUAAGAAAUAAACCAGUUAAUUCAAGUAAAAUGCUUUGAAUA
rnacentral:lncRNA from 1 species